rnacentral:lncRNA from 1 species
UGCAAUUAUUAUGUGUCCCUUUCUUGUAAAAUUUUGUACAGCCUAAAUGACUAAAAGAAAAAAAAAAUUCAGUUUUUGCUGAACUUUUUCAGAAUUGAGGGUUGUAAAUAUUGUCGAUUCUUUUUCUAUGUAAUGUGUCCUACUGUUUGAUAAUGCUGUAACUUGUAGGAAUGUUGUAUAUUUAUUUCUGGCUUAUUUAAUGUCUUAAAUUCUGCAAAGUGUUGACCUCCCUUUCCCCUCUGCCCCCUGCUGUCCUGUUAAUUGCUUUAACUCUUGAGGUGGAGACUGGUCAGCUCACGGCAGGCCACGUGGUCUCCCCAGGGUGGCCCUCCCCAGCUUUGGUUCCUGGUAUUUCUAGUCCAGUGGGUUUAAAUUCUUAGGGUUUGCUGUCCUCAUGAUGAGGUUUGUGUUUAGACAGCCUAAUGAAAGACCAGAAAUCUGAUAGGCUUUCAGAUUCUCCUCUAGAACUUUCCAGUGACUCUUUAAUUCCUGAACAGCUAGCUUCUCAUAGAAACAAGUGCUGUUAACUUCAGGCCAUAUCUUACAAAACAAAAUACUUAUUAUUAGCAGUGGGAAAGAUUUUUCCAUUGAAGAUUUAUCCCUGACAGCUCAGUGUUUAGAAAUACUCACAUGUCCACUUAGGCAGGUGCCACCAUGAGACUGUUGAAGGCAGAGACCAGGCAGACUGAAGGCCCGGGUUGACCAGUUGCCCUGCUUCCAAGUGACUACUGGGCCACCUCACACUACUAACCUUUGUUGGCAACUGAUGAUUAGUUGAAUUCCCCCACCCCCAACCGUGCUCUGUGGCUUCCUACGCUUUGAGGUGCAGACUCUACUAUGUAUCUUCAGGAACUAACUGUACAGGCCCGCGCCCCGCCCCCCAGCCUUGAACCAUUUGGUCCCAGCAUUUGAUCCACCUGUGUCUUCAGGGUGACGCCUUCUUCUGCUUCUCCAAAGCCUUCAAGCGAGGGUCUGGACCCCACUGGCCUGGGUGCAAAGAGGUGAGAGCGUGAAAGAUCUUCUAGCGGUUCUGUGUCGAUGGCUUUGUCAUCCCUGCUGAUUUAGCCUGGUGCCUGUGUGUGUCCAGUCUGUGCACGCACGUGUGCAGUGACCUGACCACAUGUGUCGCUAAACCAGCUGGGGUAACACCUGUCCUGCUCCAGACGGCAUCGUAUGUAAGAAGCACCCUCAAGCUCCCAGCUAAAUAACUUGACUACUUUGGUUUGGGAAUUUCAGACCUUAGAAGCUCUCUUUAAUUUGUGUGUCCAGGUUCUGUGACCGCUAGUUACUGUAUCAGAACUCAUCAGGUACUCGUUUAUAAAUAGCACUGAUCCGUCUGUAACUUUUUUCCUAGAACCCAGCAUAUGUAGCAUUUGUAUCGCAAUUUCCCUGGCUUGUGUUUUGCACUGAUGGAUUUUGACAGGGUAAUUGCCACUUUACUUGUGCAAUACUGCUGUAAAUAAUUGCAGAUUUUUUUUUUAAGAAACCCAAUCUUUUAUGUUCUUAAUGAAUUUUAUAUAAAUAAAACUUUCAACUAGU